rnacentral:rRNA from 1 species
AACUUUCAACAACGGAUCUCUUGGUUCUCGCAUCGAUGAAGAACGCAGCAAAGCGCGAUAGGUAAUGCGAAUUGCAGACGUGAGUCAUUGAAUCUUUGAACGCACAUUGCGCCAGUUUACUGGCAUACUGCGUUGAGCGUCG